CAGUAGCCGCGGGAAUACGGAGGGUGCAAGCGUUAAUCGGAAUUACUGGGCGUAAAGCGCACGCAGGCGGUCUGACAAGUCAGAUGUGAAAUCCCCGGGCUUAACCUGGGAACUGCUUUUGAAACUGUCAGGCUGGAGUCUUGUAGAGGGGGGUAGAAUUCCAGGUGUAGCGGUGAAAUGCGUAGAGAUCUGGAGGAAUACCGGUGGCGAAGGCGGCCCCCUGGACAAAGACUGACGCUCAGGUGCGAAAGCGUGGGGAGCAAACAGGAUUAGAUACCCCAGUAGUCCCUGUCUCUUAUAC
rnacentral:rRNA from 1 species